GAAUUCGGCAGAGAUGCCUUAGUGCCUUCGGGAACCGUGAGACAGGUGCUGCAUGGCUGUCGUCAGCUCGUGUUGUGAAAUGUUGGGUUAAGUCCCGCAACGAGCGCAACCCUUAUCCUUUGUUGCCAGCGAGUAAUGUCGGGAACUCAAAGGAGACUGCCGGUGAUAAACCGGAGGAAGGUGGGGAUGACGUCAAGUCAUCAUGGCCCUUACGAGUAGGGCUACACACGUGCUACAAUGGCGCAUACAAAGAGAAGCGACCUCGCGAGAGCAAGCGGACCUCAUAAAGUGCGUCGUAGUCCGGAUCGGAGUCUGCAACUCGACUCCGUGAAGUCGGAAUCGCUAGUAAUCGUGGAUCAGAAUGCCACGGUGAAUACGUUCCCGGGCCUUGUACACACCGCCCGUCACACCAUGGGAGUGGGUUGCAAAAGAAGUAGGUAGCUUAACCUUCGGGAGGGCGCUUACCACUUUGUGAUUCAUGAC
rnacentral:rRNA from 1 species